rnacentral:rRNA from 1 species
CCUACGGGAGGCAGCAGUGAGGAAUAUUGGUCAAUGGGGGGAACCCUGAUGCAGCGACGCCGCGUGGGUGAAGAAGCGCCUCGGCGCGUAAAGCCCUGUCAGCAGGGGAGAAAAUGACGGUACCUGAGGAAGAAGCCCCGGCUAACUACGUGCCAGCAGCCGCUGUAAUACGUAGGGGGCAAGCGUUAUCCGGAUUUACUGGGUGUAAAGGGGGCGGAGACGGCGAUGCAAGCCAGGAGUGAAAGCUCGGGGGCCAACCCCGGGACUGCUCUUGGAACUGCGUGGCUGGAGUGCAGGAGGGGCAGGCGGAAUUCCUGGUGUAGCGGUGAAAUGCGUAGAUAUCAGGAGGAACACCGGUGGCGAAGGCGGCCUGCUGGACUGCAACUGACGUUGAGGCCCGAAAGCGUGGGGAGCAAACAGGAUUAGAUACCCCAGUAGUC